UCUAGUGAAAGGUGUUGCUUCUAUUUAAGAUAGUGAGGAUUGUGGUGUUACCUUCAGAAGAAGGUAGACCAGUAAUGUGGGACCAGGGGUGGAGUGGUUCAGGAAGAAUUCUGAGGAGGCUGGAGGAAGCUCGGUGUGAACCUUAGCCUAGAUGGAGAAGGGAAGACUGAACACCAGAAACACUGACGAAGGAGGGCAACUGUUUUGUAAAACCCAUGGUGGAGGACCGUUCUCACUGGAACACUGAUGACCUGGCAGACAUUGGAACAAAGAGGUGAUCUGAUGGACAGUUUUCAUGGAGUGGACGGUCACGUUGUGCCUCUUAGACCACCUGCUUAAUCUCCCACCUGGCUGCCCUCAUCACACAGGAGGAAGAGUGAAUGGUUUUAAUCCUCAAGUUUUCCUCAGGGAAUGUCAGUGGGUGAUGAGCUUCAUGUCCCUGGAAGCAGGGUGGUAGACGAAAGUGAAAUCAAAACAUCCCAGGAGCAAAGUCCACUGAGCCUGAUGAGAGCUGAGCCAGGAAGCAUUUUAUAGACAUAAAAGGUUUUGUGGUUUGUCCAGGACCAAAAGGGAUAUGUUAAGCCCUCCAGCCAAUGCCUCAAUUCGGACCAGAAUCACAGCUAGUCGUUCUGUCCUGAUGCUGCAGUUCUUGUCUGCAGAGAACAAACCAGCCAGAAAAGACGGAACAGCUUGUGAUCACCAGAACAGUGUUGAGAAAAGAUAACCCCUCACUCCAGUGUCAGUGGCAUCAACUAUGAACUGUUUGCAGAGAUCUGGGUGAGAAAACACAGGAACUAAAGAGAACAGUUCUUGGAAUUGGUUGAAGGCUAGGUCAGUGGUGGGGGACCAUGUGAAGGGACCUUAGAAGAGGUGAGUGAUUCUCAGAUGUACAUCUCUUUGGAUAAAAGCAUUUGCUAAAUGAGACUGUCGGAUUGCAGAAUUGAUACAGGGGAGUUGCUACUCGACAAUCACAGUAAAAUUCAGUGUGAAAGUGAAGGCUUUAGCAGGUGAAACACUGAUGCAAAGAUGAGCUGAAUAAGCACACAUGUGGAUCUACUCCUGGAAACACAAUGGAUCAGAAGAGUUGUAAACAAGAUGAGGCAAUAGUAAAUUUAUGUAGAAAGUAAUACUCAACUGGUUCACAGAUAAAGGUUGGAGAGUUACUGAGAAAGUAGUGAAAUCACAGAACAAUGUGGCUCUGGAGAGCAAAAAGAGUCAGGGUUUAACAUAGUGCUUGGUGAGGUGAGCUGCAGGUGUGUGUGAUCAGCCAGAUGCAAACAAAUGAGCCACACCCUCAGUAAAUAUGGAAAUAAGGUUAUAUAAGUAAUGGGCAGGUGAAACGAGUUGGGAUAAUGGAAAAACAAAGCUGUAGGUAUGUGUGAUCAGCCAGAUGCAAACAAAUGAGCCACACCCUCAGUAAAUAUGGAAAUAAGGUUAUAUAAGUAAUGGGCAGGUGAAACGAGUUGGGAUAAUGGAAAAACAAAGCUGUAGAUGUGUGUGAUCAGCCAGGUGCAAACAAAUGAGCCACACCCUCAGUAAAUAUGGAAAUAAGGUUAAUAUAACUAAUGGGCAGGUGCAACGAGUUGGGAUAAUGGAAAAACAAAGCUGCAGGUGUGUGUGAUCAGCCAGGUGCAAACAAAUGACCCACACCCUCAGGGAAUAAGGGAAUAAGGUUAACAGAAAAAAAGGGGAAGAUGAGAAGAACUGGGGAAAUGCAAAACCAAAAAACAACCUAAAUACAGAAUUGUGUACAUGAACUUUACAAAGAUGUUUCACCGUGCUGAAUGUAUCUUCCAACAACUUGCUUGUCUUGACAAGAAGUUGCUCCUGAUGACAGACAGCAUCUUGCAUGGAAGUUCUGUCACUUUUGAUGUGUGAAUGUGUGAACAAGACAAACAUAAAGUGCUUUGAGUACCACUAAGGUAGAAGGCGCCAUAUAUGUACAAACCAUUUAUCAUUUAAAAACAUGAAAACUGUCUUUCUUCUCCUCAGGGAAUGCUCAGUGCUGUCUGCAGACGGAGAUGAUGACCAACUCCAUGAACUUCUACAGAGGCGAGCCUAACUGGAAGGUGACGAUCGUUGAGAUUUCUGGAUUCUCAGAAACACCUGAAGUGAAGACGGAGAUCAG